rnacentral:rRNA from 1 species
UGGGGAAUAUUGGACAAUGGGCGAAAGCCUGAUCCAGCAACGCCGCGUGAGGGAUGACGGCCUUCGGGUUGUAAACCUCUUUCAGCAGGGACGAAGCGAAAGUGACGGUACCUGCAGAAGAAGGACCGGCCAACUACGUGCCAGCAGCCGCGGUAAUACGUAGGGUCCGAGCGUUGUCCGGAAUUAUUGGGCGUAAAGGGCUCGUAGGCGGUCCGUCACGUCGGGAGUGAAAACUCAAGGCUCAACCUUGAGCGUGCUUCCGAUACGGGCGGACUAGAGGUAUGCAGGGGAGAACGGAAUUCCUGGUGUAGCGGUGGAAUGCGCAGAUAUCAGGAGGAACACCGGUGGCGAAGGCGGUUCUCUGGGCAUUACCUGACGCUGAGGAGCGAAAGCAUGGGGAGCGAACAGG